UACAGAGGUGGCAAGCGUUGUUCGGAAUUACUGGGCGUAAAGGGCGCGUAGGCGGCCCGCUAAGUCGAACGUGAAAUCCCUGGGCUCAACCCAGGAACUGCGUCCGAUACUGGCAGGCUUGAAUCCGGGAGAGGGAUGUGGAAUUCCAGGUGUAGCGGUGAAAUGCGUAGAUAUCUGGAGGAACACCGGUGGCGAAGGCGGCAUCCUGGACCGGUAUUGACGCUGAUGCGCGAAAGCCAGGGGAGCAAACGGG
rnacentral:rRNA from 1 species